UACAGAGGUGGCAAGCGUUGUUCGGAAUUACUGGGCGUAAAGGGCGCGUAGGCGGCCUUCUAAGUCAGACGUGAAAUCCCCCGGCUUAACCUGGGAACUGCGUCUGAUACUGGAAGGCUUGAGUGCGGGAGAGGGAUGUGGAAUUCCAGGUGUAGCGGUGAAAUGCGUAGAUAUCUGGAGGAACACCUAUUGCGAAGGCAGCUCGCUGGGACGUAACUGACGCUGAGACGCGAAAGCGUGGGGAGCAAACAGG
rnacentral:rRNA from 1 species